GUGGGGAUCUUGGCUUGCGGAAUUUGGCUGCUUUGGGGAUUUCUUCUUACAGCUCCUUUCCUUAUUUUUGUAUUAUUUCGCUUUUAUUUUUUAUUCCCUCCUUUUGAGUUUUGUGAAGGGGUUUGUUAUUUAUGGGUAGCGUGAAGAAUUGUGUUGUGAAAAGAAUUUGUCAGCCACUGGGAGAUAUGGUAGGACACAGCUGGAGGACUUAGCAGCUUCUUCUUCUUCUUCUGUGUCUUCGCACCAUAACAUUCUACCGUAUCCUUCACGCCGCCGACAACCCAAGCUCGUGCCACCCCUGAAAUGAGAGUGAAUCUUGGAACCAGAAAUGGAAGGACCAAUUUGUCAGCCACUGGGGAGAUAUGGUAGGACACAGCUGGAGGACUUAGCAGCUUCUUCUUCUUCUUCUGUGUCUUCGCACCAUAACAUUCUACCGUAUCCUUCACGCCGCCGACAACCCAAGCUCGUGACCCCUGAAAUGAGAGUGAAUCUUGGAACCAGAAAUGGAAGGACCAGUCAAUCAAACAAGAGAUGCCCUUUGACCCAUGAUGUGGACGCAGGUGGGCUACAAUCUCAAGGCUCCACCCUCCCCUGCCCCGAGCCCCUUUUGACUCCCGUUUCGCAUUUCAUCAGAUGCCUCCUGUCUCUUGCAUUUUCCAAUUCGUUGGGAGGGAUGCGUGUCUAGAUCUUUAAGAAUCAGACCAUAAUUUCAUGCGUAAAGAUUUAACCGGAGUUGGAUCCUGUUCCUCUACAUUUGAGAGUUGGUUCUGGUGGACGAUUGAGAUCGAGCCAAGUCUUGUUAAUUCGUUUGAGAGUUGGUUCCGGUGCGUUUCUUCUGCGAAAAUUUGCAGUCCAAACUAGAUAGCACCUUUAACCUUUUGCUGGAAUAUGCCUCCUGUCUCUUGCAUUCUCCCACCUUUAACUAGUUAGCAUUCUUUUUGUGUACGGUUAGCAUCCUGUCCACAUUAGGGUCAAAGGGUAAUAUGGGAAUGGUUCUUAUUGAUACCAGUAGUACGAGCACGUUUUGCCCACGAACCGUCACGAUGAGUUCAUUCCGUCUAUUUGACAGUUUAACCCAAACCACAUAGAGUUUAUGUAUAGCUUUUUGAAUCAUGGGGGGGUUAUGUGGUUUUUGCGAAAAUCACAGGAGGCUAAAAUGUAAUUUGCCCUUUAGAUUGUCAUAAAACUUGGUGAUUACCUGGGUGGCUAUUUGGUUAUUAGAUUUCCUGGUGGAGUAGGCUUUUGUGCAAAUUUCAAUUAUUGACAUGUAUGUGUACUGGAACUUAUGCACUCCUUUCUGGUUUUAUUGAACAAAAGAAUUCUGAAAAAGGGAACAUUGAAUUAAAAAUCCAAAAGAAGCUCAUUACCUGAUUGAAGUCAAAAGAUGAGGAAGUGAAAUUAUGUAUCCUAAAUGGGGAAACAAUUAUUGCCAAUUGCAUGGUGCAUAAAUAGGGGUUAUUGGUUUCUUUUUUUGGGCCAGUGUCAAGUAAGUAACGCCGAAUGCUCACACUUGCUGCUUUGCAGAAAAAUGGAAAAAGAAAGCUGGGAAACAAAGAGAGAGUGUUGAAUAAUUUGAGCUCUGUCUUGAAUUUUAACUUUCACCAUUCCAGUUUCUGGAUCAAUCAUUUUAUUUGGUAUUUCUGCAUUCUUUUUGGUCUCCAUUAUCAUUUUUUUUUUUGCUGCUAUAAUUACAGAAAGGAUCUGUUUUAUAUAUUUCAAUCUUCUUUCUUGAUCAGCUGAUGGAUUUGGUGGACCUAAGCCACUAGUUUAAAUAAGUCUUUUAGGACGUGCAACUGCGUGCAUGCUUAAACCAAGUACCAAGCUGUUCAAGAUUGAUUGAAUAUUUUCUGCUCAUGCAUGCAGUCCCAAGAUUGAUCUUCUUCUAUUUUGACUUCUAAAGAACACAAAAUACUUGAGCUUCCCAAACUUUUGCUACAAUAUUGCAUUUACUUCUACAAUUUAGUAUUAUUCUUAGUGUCUCUUGGUGUUUUAGUUGAAUCACUGUGAGGUAUAAAAUCCUUCGAUUCAGCAUGCAAGACGCAUGUUUUAAUUCUAAUUUUGGAACUAUGAAUUUGUUUAGGUGAUGACGUUCGGCCCAAAUUUGCAUCUGGCUGAAUAGAUUUUGGCCUUUAAUGAGAUAGUGACUUGAUCACAUCAGUGUUGAUAUCUUUUAUAUUUGUUAUUCUUGUUCGAUUUUCUUCUUGUUCUUGUGGUGAUUUCCUUUCCCUUUAUUUCAAUAUUUGUCUUUUCAGAUUGGAGUAUUUGCAAGGUGAAGAUGCUGCAGGAUAUGCUUCAAACUAUUUUGGUACUUAGGUUGGAGACUAGUCAAUCAGUACCUAAUAAACGGAGGGCAAACCAAUAAGAUGUC
rnacentral:lncRNA from 1 species